GGAGAGGGGUACCUUACUGGGGCUGAUUGGUGACUGAGUUAUGCUGGAGCAAAUGCAGGAGUAGGGUUUGAAGUAGAAGUGGUCUCGGUUGCUUGUCUCUUCCGGCGCACACUUUCUUCCAACCCGCGAACUGAUUUCCUCCUCUGUGGAAGCUUCAUCUUUGGAGCCAUUUGCACAAGCAGAGCUAGCAAGGAACUUAGGAGAGCAAAUGUGGGGAGAGAUAAAGGAUUUUUAGGGGAAGGAUAAAGAUUUUGGAGAAGAGGAGUGC
rnacentral:lncRNA from 1 species